rnacentral:lncRNA from 1 species
AGAAAGCGAUUUUCUAGAGUUAUUAAGCAUGUUUAGAUAUGAUCUCAUGAAUGGAAUGCUACUACUUAGAUGCAAGAACCAGUGACACCAUAUGCUCAUACCAAUUCCAAACUCCACAUAUUGAAACGCAUGACACUCAAGAUGAAGUUAGGGGUUGUAACAGGGUUUAAGGGUAAUGGCUAACAAAGAAAGGAUAAGGAUAACAAACGUUCUGAAAGCAAUAGCAAGCAAAGUAAUGAAAUAGACGCUUGGAAUUCACUUAAUAAUGCAGAAAUUAACUUUUAAACACAAAGGGAA